GCCGGUGUAGCUCAGUCGGUAGAGCGCAUCCUUGGUAAGGAUGAGGUCACCAGUUCAAAUCUGGUCAUCGGCUCCA
rnacentral:tRNA from 1 species